rnacentral:misc_RNA from 1 species
GAAAAUUGGAGGAAAGAAGUGUCAACUGAAAAAGCCAAUAGUUGAUUGCUAUGAAUAUGAGAUUAUGCACAAGAUAAAUCCUUUAUUAUUUUCCAUAAAAAAUUCAGAUACUUUCACUUUUUCUAUAUUCCCUUUAAUCAUCAAAUCCACGUUUGUUUUAAAAAAAUUCUGUUUGGUUAUACUUCCAAUUAUUUUUCUCAUCCACGUCAACUCUUUAUCUACGAAAUGAUAAUCUACCAAGUUAUUAAAAAAAAAGUGAUCGGUCUUUUCUCUACUGUUCAAUCAAGCAACUGUGCUUGAAAAUCUA